rnacentral:misc_RNA from 1 species
GGCGACCAUGACUACUGGUGAUGUUUGACUAGUAAAUGGAAUAUAUAUAUAUUUCGAAAUAAUAUGUUAAUGUCAUUAUUUUGGAUGCAUGGUUUGGAUACUAGCCAAAAAAUUAUCAGAAUGGAAUUGAAAUAAUACAUAAGCAUUAUUAAGCUUCUUAUUUCAGGAGUGCAGGAGAAAAGGAGGAAAACGAAAAACAUAACAGGCAGAGUCAUGUUCUUUGACAUCACUUCAUUAUUUAAGCGCCGACCAUUACAUACAUUCUUUUAAGCAGAGCUGAUGGAUUGCAGAAAUAAGCUUCAAAUCUCCCAAUUUUCUUCUUCUUCUUCUUCAGCUUC